UACAGAGGGGGCAAGCGUUGUUCGGAAUUACUGGGCGUAAAGGGCGCGUAGGCGGCCCGCUAAGUCGAACGUGAAAUCCCCGAGCUCAACUCGGGAACUGCGUCCGAUACUGGCGGGCUUGAAUCCGGGAGAGGGAUGCGGAAUUCCAGGUGUAGCGGUGAAAUGCGUAGAUAUCUGGAGGAACACCGGUGGCGAAGGCGGCAUCCUGGACCGGUAUUGACGCUGAGGCGCGAAAGCUAGGGGAGCAAACGGG
rnacentral:rRNA from 1 species